UUAAUCCAAUUUUAUUUGACUUUAAGAAUCUGGAAGUCUCAUUACAAAAGCAAGGGCAACCAGUAGUAUUGAGGGGAGUUAAGGAGGGCCAGGUGACCAACAGAAUUACUCCUUGUGAGAGCCUACAGCAGUUAUUGCAGAAGCAGGGGAUUUGCUCUAUGGUGUUUCAAGCUCAAUUUCCUGAUUUCACCCAAGAAUGCUCUCUGAAAGGGAAUAUUGUCAUGUAUUAUAGGAAGAGGUAUAAGAAUAAGAAUAGGGUUGGGAAUGUGUGAGAAGUCAUACGUAGGUUGGAGUUGGA
rnacentral:misc_RNA from 1 species